rnacentral:rRNA from 1 species
AGUGAACGCUGGCGGUAGGCCUAACACAUGCAAGUCGAACGGCAGCACAGUAAGAGCUUGCUCUUACGGGUGGCGAGUGGCGGACGGGUGAGGAAUACAUCGGAAUCUACUUUUUCGUGGGGGAUAACGUAGGGAAACUUACGCUAAUACCGCAUACGACCUACGGGUGAAAGCAGGGGAUCUUCGGACCUUGCGCGAUUGAAUGAGCCGAUGUCGGAUUAGCUAGUUGGCGGGGUAAAGGCCCACCAAGGCGACGAUCCGUAGCUGGUCUGAGAGGAUGAGCAGCCACCCGGAAGCUAGGACACGGGCCGAGGCCGUACGGAGGGCGGGAGGGGGGAUUAUGGCAAAAGGGGGGAAAGCCUGAUCCGGCCAUACCGGGGGGGGGAGGAAGGCCUUCGGGUUGUAAAGGCCUUUUGUUGGGAAAGAAAAGCGGCGGAUUAAUGCCCCGGUUAUCGGAGGGAACCCAAAGAAUAAGCCCGGGGAAACUUGGG